rnacentral:rRNA from 1 species
GUCCACGCUGUAAACGAUGAGCACUAGGUGUCGCGGGUAUUGACCCCUGCGGUGCCGCAGCUAACGCAUUAAGUGCUCCGCCUGGUGACUACGGCCGCAAGGUUAAAACUCAAAGGAAUUGACGGGGGCCCCGCACAAGCGGUGGAGCAUGUGGUUCAAUUCGACGCAACGCGAAGAACCUUACCUGGGCUAGACAACGGAGGACAGCCUCAGAGAUGAGGUCUUCCCUUCGGGGACCUCCGGUUCAGGUGCUGCAUGGCUGUCGU